rnacentral:lncRNA from 1 species
CAGAGGACCAUGUCCCAGUAGAUGAGGUCUGCAGCUCCAGUCUCUCACCCUAAUCCCCACCCACGGACACGCCAUCCAACCAGAGAGAAUGAGGGGACCACGUGGGGCUCACAGCCUCCCAGGACCGAGAGGCAGGUCCCCUGCAUGAAGCCCAGAGGAGCCUGCAGACACCGCAGUCCAGGAUGCCAGCCUCUGCGUCAGGUCCUGCCUUCAGGUUCCUGCCCUGCUUGAGUUCGCGUCUUGACUUUCCAUGAUGGUGAACUGUGAUAUUGAAGUGUAAGCUGAAUAAACUUUUUCCUCCCC